GACCUUUUUUUACAAUCGCAGGAAACUGUUGAUAAGGGAACCCCGAGUGCCCGUACACGAAAGGAAUGGGUGGUUAAAAUGCACCCAAAGAAAGGGUGGGGAAGACCGGUGCCAGCCGCCGCGGUAAUACCGGCGGCUCGAGUGGUGACCACUUUUAUUGGGCUUUAAGCGUUCGUAGCUGGACUUUUUAGUCCCUUGGAAAACCCCCGCCUAACCCGGCGGUCUUCUAAGGGAUUUUUCAGUCUUGGCCCCUUAAAGGUAGAUUCCUCCCGGGGUAGGAGUGAA
rnacentral:rRNA from 3 species